rnacentral:lncRNA from 1 species
GUCCCGCGAGGUCCUUCGCCGGGCGGCGGGAGCUAGACGAGCACGCAGGGCACCCCUCGGGCUCCCGGGAGGCGGCCCUGGGCGUCCCCUUUCUGCCGCCGCCGCGGCCCCGGCUGCUUUCUGCGUAGCUGGGCAGGGCCCGGGCCCCCACAUCGCCUCUCUCGGGAAUGCGGGCGCUCUGGAGCCGGGGAGCCGGGGCGACCGCAGGGAGGGCAGCUCUCCGGGGUGGAGGUCCUCGGGCGCCGCGCCCUCGCCUGGAAACCAGCCGUCGCCCCCGCAGGAGUCAGCCGGCGUGGACGCCCCAGCACGCUCCUUCUUGGUGCUGCCGGUCGCCCUGCAAUUCCGAGAAGAAAGUCAGAGACGCCGUGGCCCACAGAGGCGCUUAGUUUUCCUCGCUCACACUCACGUUGCUUCCUCAUCGCGUUCUUCUUUUUCUCCCUGGGUGCUUUCUCUCCUCUCCAGGAAAGCGGAUUUGGAGGAACAGGUUUCGUGACUGUCAUCCAACUGGAAAAGGCCCCGCGAGCUGGAAGGGGGGGCGGGGGGGGGGACGGGUGCACCCUCAGAGUUAUUGCUGGAGGCUGUGGCCAGGCCGGGCAAUGUGGUGACUUCCGCUGGCAGGCUGAGGCCCACCCCAGCCCUCCCACCUGGGCCACGGGGCUCUCAGCGGGAGCCCCAGUUAUGACCGGACACCAGCGCACCGCCAAGGAGACAGCCACGUGGGGACAUGCCGGGCUAGCAGGGUCAGAGCCACUUUGAGGACUAGUGACCUCGGUUCCCUGGCUUAACCAGGUCCUUAUGGGUGAGAAUCCUGAAGAGGGGGAGAGGGAUGGAGGCGAGGGACAGUAGGCAGGAGGAGCUGAUGAAUAGGAAGGAGGAAGAAGAUGAAAUAAACAAGAAAGAAAGAAAUUA